GAGCCCUCCAAGAAGGACUCCAUCUCAAGCCUUUCUCUAUGCUACACUAUUCCUAACAAGAGGGAAGCCUUGAAAGGAAGAUUCAGAAUCUGAAACAAAGGAUCACCAAGUUUCAGAUGGGUAGUCAUCAACAGAAUGAUAGCUUCAGUUUCAACAUCCAGCUGUCGUUCUCUUGAGAGAUUUUGAGCAAACCAAUCUUCCAUUGGUUCAAGGUGCUACAAGUUGAGCCGUACAAUAGCUGGAC
rnacentral:lncRNA from 1 species